GAAGUUUGAUCAUGGCUCAGAACGAACGCUGGCGGCGUGGUUAAGGCAUGCAAGUCGAACGGAACCGUGGAUUGGGUAACCGAACUGCGGUUUAGUGGCGAACGGGUGAGGAAUACAUGGGUAACGUACCUCGGACUCAGGGAUAGCGGCGGGAACUUCGGUUCCCUUUGCGAAAGUGCCGGUAAUACCUGAUGAUCCGACUGCAUCGCAUGAUGUGGUCGGCAAAGGUCCGCCGGUCCGGGAGCGGCCCAUGUCCUAUCAGCUUGUUGGUGGGGUAACGGCCUACCAAGGCAUCGACGGGUAUCGGGCGUGGGAGCGUGACCCGACACAUCGGAACUGAGAUACUGUCCGGACACCUACGGGUGGCUGCAGCAACGAAUAUUCCGCAAUGGGCGAAAGCCUGACGGAGCGACGCCGCGUGCAGGAUGAAGUCUUUCGGGAUGUAAACUGCUGUCAGGGGCUAGGAAGUUCUGACCAGCCCCAAAGGAAGCGCCGGCUAAUUCCGUGCCAGCAGCCGCGGUAAUACGGAAGGCGCAAGCGUUGUUCGGAAUCACUGGGCUUAAAGAGCGUGUAGGCGGAAUGGUAGGUGCUUUGUGAAAUCCCUCGGCUCAACCGAGGAACUGCUUGGCAAACCCCCAUUCUUGAGGCAGGUAGAGGCGACUGGAACCUUUGGUGGAGCGGUGAAAUGCGUAGAGAUCAAAGGGGAACACCGGUGGCGAAAGCGGGUCGCUGGGCCUGUCCUGACGCUGAGACGCGAAAGCGUGGGUAGCAAACAGGAUUAGAUACCCUGGUAGUCCACGCCGUAAACGAUGCGCACGAGGUACGGAAGCCUCUGACGGAGACCGUGCCGAAGCGAAAGCGAUGAGUGCGCCGCCUGGGGAGUACGGCCGCAAGGCUAAAACUCAAAGGAAUUGACGGGGGCUCACACAAGCGGUGGAGCAUGUGGAUUAAUUCGAAGCAACGCGAAGAACCUUACCUGGGUUUGAAAUGCUAGGAUGCAGCGGUGAAAGCCGUCUAUGCUGCCUUUGGUGAAACUAGCACAGGUGCUGCAUGGCUGUCGUCAGCUCGUGCUGUGAAGUGUCGGGUUAAGUCCCUUAACGAGCGAAACCCCUAUCGUUAGUUGCCAGCGGUUCGGCCGGGAACUCUAGCGAGACUGCCGGCGUUAAGCCGGAGGAAGGUGGGGAUGACGUCAAGUCCUCAUGGCCCUUAUGGGUUGGGCUACACACGUGCUACAAUGGCGGCGACAGAGGGCAGCGACCCCGCGAGGGUGAGCUAAUCUCCAAAAGCCGUCUCAGUUCGGAUUGUUCUCUGCAACUCGAGAGCAUGAAGGUGGAAUCGCUAGUAAUCGCAGAACAGCAUGCUGCGGUGAAUACGUUCCCGGGCCUUGUACACACCGCCCGUCACAUCAUGGGAGUUGGCUUUACCCGAAGGUGGUGCGCUAACCUAGCAAUAGGAGGCAGCCAACCACGGUGAGGUCAGCGACUGGGAUGAAGUCGUAACAAGGUAACU
rnacentral:rRNA from 1 species